rnacentral:rRNA from 1 species
CCUACGGGUGGCAGCAGUGAGGAAUAUUGGUCAAUGGGCGCGAGCCUGAACCAGCGAAGUAGCGUGAAGGAUGAAUUCCCUACGGGUUGUAAGCUUCUUUUAUAAAGAAAUAAGGUGUGACGCGUGUGCCUUUUUGUAUGUACUUUAUGAAUGUGCAUCGGCUAACUCCGUGCCAUCGGCCGCAGUCAUACGGAGGAUCCAAUCGUUGUACGGAUUUAGUGGGUUUAAAGGGAGCGUAGAUGGGGUGGGAAGUCAGGUGUGAAAGUUUGCGGCUCAACCGCAAAAUUGCAAUUGAGACUGGAAGGCUGGAGUACAGUUGAGGUAGGUGGAAUUCGUGGUGUAGCGGUGAAAUGCUUAGAUAUUACGAAGAACUCCGAUUGCGAAGGCAGCUUACUAAACUGCAACUGACAUUGAUGCUCGAAAGUGUGGGUAUCAAACAGGAUUAGAUACCCGAGUAGUC